UUUCAGCCUCCUGAAUGUGGCAUCGGGAAGUCUGAAAACAUCUCCUAAUUAGUCUUCCAGCCUCUGGUUUUGCCUCCCUGAUCUCUGCCAACCCAGCUAUGCCCUAUUGAGGCCAGAGUGACAUUUCUGAAAUGCAAAUUUGGAUGGCGUCAUUUCUCAUCUUAAAAUUCUUUGUUGGUUUCUCAUUACCUCCAGGAUAAAGUGCAAACUCCUCAGCAGGGCAAUUACGGUGUUCAUAACUGGACAAGUCCCUACAUUUUUCCUUCAUUUACUGCACUGACACUUACUGAUGACCUGUGGAUCUGGUGGAUAGCAGUGAGAAAAUGGACAUGACGGGGUCCUGUCCUCAAAGCCCUCCCAGUCUGGAAAAGGGUUUCAUAUAUCCUGGAUUUUCUAUUCUUGCCACCGUGCAGUCUCUGUUGUCUCCUAGAAUAUCUUUUCUUUUCUGCAGAACCCCCACGCAGCCCUAAAACUGCCAAACACCAGCCAUCCCAAUUUUCUGCAUCCUGAAUCCAUCCUAUAAGUCUUCUCUUGCAGUCUGACUCUUGGGGUUAUGUUCCAGAACAAUCUGUGGCCAUCUGUCCUUCCUCAUUCUUUGGAGGCAGUCUUUCCAUGGAAGGGUGACUUUGCUCUGUGGAGUAUAGCUGGCACCCAGCCAGCCUACCACCAGGCCCACAGUUAUUACUCAAGAACAGCUGUUGCUUCUGGAAGAUGACAAGAACUUCUUGUUAAAAACUACUGGGAGUACACAACUACUACCCUUCAUAAUACAGAUGCAUUCCUUAAUUUUUAAAGCUCCUGUCAAUUAGUAAAAUGUAAUUGUUUUUUAUAAAUUUUAACUAAUAUCUUCCACAGUACACUGAAGACGUCUUAGAACAGGAGUUAUGUUUCCUGCAUAUUUAUAUUUUUAGCCUCUGGCAGACACUUUGUCUGUAGUUAUUGCUCAAU
rnacentral:lncRNA from 1 species